rnacentral:rRNA from 1 species
GAUGAACGCUGGCGGCGUGCCUAAUACAUGCAAGUCGAGCGAAUGGAUUAAGAGCUUGCUCUUAUGAAGUUAGCGGCGGACGGGUGAGUAACACGUGGGUAACCUGCCCAUAAGACUGGGAUAACUCCGGGAAACCGGGGCUAAUACCGGAUAACAUUUUGAACCGCAUGGUUCGAAAUUGAAAGGCGGCUUCGGCUGUCACUUAUGGAUGGACCCGCGUCGCAUUAGCUAGUGGGUGAGGUAACGGCUCACCAAGGCAACGAUGCGUAGCCGACCUGAGAGGGUGAGCGGCCACACUGGGACUGAGAAACGGCCCAGACUCCGACGGGAGGCAGCGGUAGGGAAUCUUCCGCAAUGGACGAAAGUCAGACGGAGCAACGCCGCGUGAGUGACGAAGGCUUUCGGGUCGUAAAACUCUGUUGUUAGGGAAGAACAAGUGCUAGUUGAAUAAGCUGGCACCUUGACGGUACCUAACCAGAAAGCCACGGCUAACUACGUGCCAGCAGCCGCAGUAA